rnacentral:rRNA from 1 species
UACGUAGGGUGCAAGCGUUAAUCGGAAUUACUGGGCGUAAAGCGUGCGCAGGCGGUGAUGUAAGACAGGUGUGAAAUCCCCGGGCUUAACCUGGGAACUGCAUUUGUGACUGCAUCGCUGGAGUGCGGCAGAGGGGGAUGGAAUUCCGCGUGUAGCAGUGAAAUGCGUAGAGAUGUGGAGGAACACCGAUGGCGAAGGCAGCCCCCUGGGUCAAGAUUGACGCUCAUGCACGAAGACGUGGGGAGCAAACAGG